rnacentral:tRNA from 1 species
GCCUUCGUGGUGUAAUGGUCAGCACACUGAGCCGGUUUUCAGAGGUCCGUGGUUCGAUUCCCGGCGAAGGCC